UUCCUACGGGGCGCAGCAGUCGGGAAUAUUGCGCAAUGGAGGAAACUCUGACGCAGUGACGCCGCGUGCAGGAAGAAGGUUUUCGGAUUGUAAACUGCUUUAGAUAGGGAAGAAAAAAAUGACAGUACCUAUAGAAUAAGCUCCGGCUAACUACGUGCCAGCAGCCGCGGUAAUACGUAGGGAGCGAGCGUUAUCCGGAUUUAUUGGGUGUAAAGGGUGCGUAGAUGGAUAAACAAGUUGGUUGUGAAAUCCCUCGGCUUAACUGAGGAAUUGCAACCAAAACUGUAGAUCUUGAGUACUGGAGG
rnacentral:rRNA from 1 species